rnacentral:sRNA from 1 species
UAACACUUACAGGAACAGCUUACAGAA